UCCUCGUUUCGCUUUCGUUUCUAUUAAAUGGGUAUAGAUCGGACGUAGAUUUCACCUUCUAAAUUCCACCUUGUACUGCAGGUUGAAUUUCAAGAGUGAUCGAUUACAAGAGAAAAUGAUGAGGGAAUGGGAAAGUGACGACAAUGAAGACCUGCAGGUGUCAGCAUCAUUUUUGGAGAGGGAUCAGAUCGAUUUCCGGCCUAUCUGUUUUCGACCUUCGCGGGAAGAGCUCGGUCAUAUUCAGCAAAUUAAUCAAACAGAACUUCCAUUCUCCCCACUUAAGCCCUAAGAAACUGUUUGCAAAAUCAUUUGGUGUGAGUGAAGAAUGUAUCUAUAUCUGCCCAGAAAGAGAAAAAUGGUAAUUCAUGAUAAUCCUGACCAUCUUGUUAUUUUCAUCAACUUCCCCGUGACUUCGAGGUACGUUCAUUUGCAAUUUACAAGGCUCAAUGAUGGUUGUGUUAGUUUUGCACCCUGACGCCUCUAUACAAACCUUGAAAUCCAUCGUUCGGGGAAAUAAGCGUUUUUACAAUGGCAAACCGGCUUCGUUGUUUUAUAAAGGAAAGCGCCUUGACGAUGAUUCAUUGACGAUUGGUUCCCUGUUUAAAAUGGAGAUUAUGUGUCGUGUUUUGUUUCAUCAAAUGAAGCCAUUGAAUGCUUUCAUUCACCAAAACUGAAUAUUCUAAACAAGUAUACCAUGAAGUGUUCUCAAACAAGGAGUUUUGGUGAAAUGAAACACGUGUUCAAAACAGUUUGGGCAAGAAUUUCCAGGUCUUAAAUCUCGCAUUGAUGAUGUGUGGUUUUCAGUUGGCAAGCAACUAGCAAAGGAAGAUGAAUAUUACUGUAUUGAUCAACAGAAGAGAACGCAAAUGCAGGAAAGAGGAAGGCUGGCUGUUCAUGUUGAAGCCAGUGGGCUCAUUUCCGAUUACCGUGAAAUUUGAAGGUUCUGGAGUAGAACACACGCCUAAGAUCCUACUUGUUUCAUCUCCCAUAACAACAGCAGCACUUCGAGGAGGAAAUAUCUUCACUGGCAGAGUAUGCCCCAAAUGCACUUCGUCUGUUCAUCAAGAACAAAAGGCUGAAGGAGGUGACAUUGUCAGAAACAAUGGGCUUUCGACACAAAUGUGUAGUGACUGCAAAGGUCACAAAGAAGAUGCGUAUUCAUGAAACUUAAAGAAGGUGGGCAAGUAAACGGCUUUGUUGUAAAUCUGUUCAAACUUGACACUGUUCAACACCUGAAAGAGAUGAUACAGGAUCAUCUCUCUGUAGCAGUAUUCCAGCUGCAGAUGUUUUUGAAGGAAAAGAAAUGCAUAAUGCAUAUCUGAUGCAAGAUUAUCAUGUCAGAGGUGAGGACACAAUUCAUGUUAAUGUCUUCCAAGAGCCAGUGUACCUCAGCGUCCGUCAACCUGGAAGAGAAAGAUUACACCUGACAGUAAAUUGCAAGCAGUCUACUGUUGGAAAAGUUAAGCUGUUCCUUGCUGAUCAAUUUGGAAGUCACGCUUCAAAGAUAAAUAUCAUUCAUAAAAGCAGAUGUCUUGAGGACAAUGAAACGUUGGAAGAAAGUGGUCUCGAAUCAGGAAGCACUGUGCUCAUCCCCAGAGUGGCUCAGAUAGCUGAAUCAGUGAGAAAAGGAAUAAUGAAAGUGUACAUUGCCAAGGAAGAUGGAACCUUUCUAAAAACUCUUGCAGUGGAAGCCGGAAAGUUCUUAUUUUAUGCACCGGAUUCCAUUCGCAGUGAUGUGAUUGAAAUAUCUCUAACAGAAAGCAUUGACCCAGUUCAGGAGAUUCGUGGUGGCAUCAUGGUGAGGAUGCCACCAGAAACCAGAAGACCACUCUCAACAUGACCCUUGUCCCCAAAAUGAAGUUGACCUGUGUACCAUACAGUCUGGGUCCAGGGCCAUCAACGUCCAACUCCAGCUCUGAGUCACUUAUGCAAGGAAUAGUUUCACUAUCUGCACAUGCUAACACGUCUCCGCAAAGAACAAUUCCAAACAGGAUGUCAUUUCAACAUCCAGGUGUAUUUGAGCACUAUUCAGACCCCAGAAACAGGCCAUUACAAGAUGUACAGAUAUUCCAAAGAACUGAGAGAAAACCCUCAGCGAUUUAUCAUUCGUGAACAGUCGGUGUUUGAUGUUCCUAAAGGAGAUGCUGGAAAUGAAUUUGCUUGUAUUGCUCGAUCACCGAGUGUCCAAUCUUCGGAGAGCAUGAUGGCUGUUUCUCCCGAACACCGCAUUCACAGGUCGCCAAGUCUACAGUUUCCUAGUAGCGCAAUACCAGACUGUUUGCUGGAAGAGGUUUCACGACAACUUGGACACGAAUGGAAGCGCGUAGCUCUGGCACUUAGGUUGAAUCAAAAUGACAUUGACAAUUUGGAAUACAAACACAAUCAAAGCCUCCAUGAACAGGCUUUGGAGGCUUUGCUGCUUUGGAAAAUGCGUAAAUCUAAAGAUGCUACCAUUGCAGAACUGAAGAAUGUCCUCCGGGAAUGUGAGUUAGCUUUGAUUGCCGACUCAGUGGACGAGAAUAUCAAAUAUGCAAGUGUUUGAAAGUGACACAGCUGCACAGAAACUACUCAUCAUAUGUACAUCAUAUAUAUCUGCUUCACACCAGGUCUAGCGAAGAGAGGGCAGUGGGGUAGCCUAGUGGUUAAAGCGUUCGCUGAAGACCCGAGUUCGAUUCCCCAAAUGGGUACAAUGUGUGAAGCCCAUUUCAUGUGUACCCAGCCGUGAUAUUGCUGGAAUAUUGCUAAAAGUGGCGUAAAACUAAACUCACUAAUUCACUCUGGUGAAUAGAGCGUUUGUCCGGAGGAUGGAAGACCGGCAGAUCGUUAAGGGGUGCACUUGUUAUUACCCUGCUUUGCGCUCGGCAUUAAGGGAUAAUACAAGGCAGAUAUUUAUGUUGUGGAUACUAUUUUUUUUGCAAAACAUUGACCUUUUAAUCUUUAUGUACUCCUGCUGCUUCGGGAAUCAUAUUAAAGAUGUAUGUUUGGUCCUCUACUAUUUGUGCAUCAAUAUGUUCUGUAUAUACUUCAGUGUACCCUUGUACCCUUUAGAAUCUUGCCAGCUUGACGCUGAUUGUCGAGCAUGACUUUCCGUUCUCCAAUGUGAUGUCAGUAAACAAAGGGAAACCAAAGAAAGUAUACCUCCUUUCGCUUCACCAAGUUCUAUGAAUUUUAUAUUUACAUGAAAAACAGCUUUGGUAUACCUUCUUCUCACACUCAAUGUACAUCUUAUUUUGAUAGAUUUUUAAACAUCAUUUAUAUAUUUGACUGUGUGCCCAAUCAUUUCCACAUUUUUCAUGGGCCAUGUAGGAAUGCUAUGUAUGGUGCUUUUAGAUUUCCAAAGACAGCAAAAUGAUAUGAUGUUUACAUGACUUGUAUAUAUGACCUGAAUGAUCUGACGAGAGUAUAUGAAAUACAGGUAGAAAGGAAGAGAGACAUAAAUGUGUUUUAUAUAUUUUCUUAUUUUAAUUUUUUUGAUAAAUCGUUUUUAAGUGCGUACUUGUACGCAUGAUUAUGUACCGGAGAACGUUCAUUAUCAGAGAUAUAUUGCAAUUUUGUUUUGUCAUUUUUGUAUAUUUAUGAACUAAUAUUACCUGAAUUGCUUUGAUUUCUUGUGUUAGUCCAACGUUUGAUCAUGUAUUUUGUAUGUAAUUGACGAGAUGAAGUGUUCUUUAUAUUAUUUUAGAAAACAAUGGGUUCAACGACAUA